rnacentral:rRNA from 1 species
AACCUUUACACUGCACGACAGUGCGAUAAGGGAAUCCCAAGUGCGUAGGCAUAGAGCCUACGCUUUUGUCCACCGUAGGGAGGUGGACGAAUAAGGGCUGGGCAAGACCGGUGCCAGCCGCCGCGGUAAUACCGGCAGCCCGAGUGAUGGCCGAUCUUAUUGGGCCUAAAGCGUCCGUAGCUGGCCGCGCAAGUCUAUCGGAAAAUCCACCCGCUCAACGGGUGGGCGUCCGGUAGAAACUGCGUGGCUUGGGACCGGAAGGCGCGACGGGUACGUCCGGGGUAGGAGUGAAAUCCCGUAAUCCUGGACGGACCGCCGAUGGCGAAAGCACGUCGCGAAGACGGAUCCGACAGUGAGGGACGAAAGCUAGGGUCUCGAACCGGAUUAGAUACCCGGGUAGUCCUAGCCGUAAACAAUGCCUGCUAGGUGUGGCUCCCACUACGUGUGGGUGCUGUGCCGUAGGGAAGCCGCUAAGCAGGCCGCCUGGGAAGUACGUCCGCAAGGAUGAAACUUAA